CAGCUUACUAAACUACAACUGACGCUCAUGCACGAAGGCGUGGGGAUCAAACAGGAUUAGAUACCCUGGUAGUCCACGCAGUAAACGAUGAUUACUGGUUGUUUGCGAUACAAUGCAAGCGACUGAGCGAAAGCGUUAAGUAAUCCACCUGGGGAGUACGUUCGCAAGAAUGAAACUCAAAGGAAUUGACGGGGGCCCGCACAAGCGGAGGAACAUGUGGUUUAAUUCGAUGAUACGCGAGGAACCUUACCCGGGCUUGAAAUGCAUCCGACCGGCGCCGAGAAGCGCCUUCCCUUCGGGGCGGAUGCGUAGGUGCUGCAUGGUUGUCGUCAGCUCGUGCCGUGAGGUGUCGGCUUAAGUGCCAUAACGAGCGCAACCCUCAUCAUUAGUUACUAACAGGUCACGCUGAGGACUCUAAUGAGACUGCCAUCGUAAGAUGCGAGGAAGGUGGGGAUGACGUCAAAUCAGCACGGCCCUUACGUCCGGGGCGACACACGUGUUACAAUGGGUGGUACAAAGGGCAGCUACAUGGCGACAUGAUGCCAAUCUCCAAAACCACUCUCAGUUCGGAUCGGAGUCUGCAACUCGACUCCGUGAAGCUGGAUUCGCUAGUAAUCGCGCAUCAGCCACGGCGCGGUGAAUACGUUCCCGGGCCUUGUACACACCGCCCGUCACACCAUGGGAGUUGGUCUUACCCUAAAACGGUGCGCUAACCGCAAGGAGGCAGCCGGCCACGGUAAGGUCAGCGACUGGGGUG
rnacentral:rRNA from 1 species